rnacentral:rRNA from 1 species
AGCAGCCGCGGUAAUUCCAGCUCCAAUAGCGUAUAUUAAAGUUGUUGCAGUUAAAAAGCUCGUAGUUGAAUUUCGAGAUCAAAUUGUUGGUCGUGCCUCGGUACGUACUGGAAUUAUUGAUUUCUCCCUUCUGAAGAACCACGAUGUCAUUAAUUUGGUGUCGUGGGGAAUCAGGACUGUUACUUUGAAAAAAUUAGAGUGUUUAAAGCAGGCUCACGCUUGAAUACAUUAGCAUGGAAUAAUGAAAUAGGACGUUUGAUUCUAUUUUGUUGGUUUCUAGGAUCGACGUAAUGAUUAAUAGGGAUAGUUGGGGGCAUUAGUAUUCAAUUGUCAGAGGUGAAAUUCUUGGAUUUAUUGAAGACUAACUACUGCGAAAGCAUUUGCCAGGGAUGUUUUCAUUAAUCAAGAACGAAAGUUAGGGGAUCGAAGACGAUCAGAUACCGUCGUAGUCUUAACCAUAAACUAUGCCGACUAGGGAUCGGAUGAUGUUAAUUUUUAAUGACUCAUUCGACGCCUUAAC